rnacentral:rRNA from 1 species
GACAGAGGGUGCAAGCGUUGUUCGGAAUCAUUGGGCGUAAAGGGCGCGUAGGCGGUUUUGUAAGUCGGAUGUGAAAGCCCAGGGCUUAACCUUGGAAGUGCAUCCGAAACUGCAUGACUAGAGUCUCGGAGAGGGUGGUAGAAUUCCCAGUGUAGAGGUGAAAUUCGUAGAUAUUGGGAGGAAUACCGGUGGCGAAGGCGACCACCUGGACGAAGACUGACGCUGAGGCGCGAGAGCGUGGGGAGCAAACAGG